AAAAGUUUGAAAUAGUCACGAAUGAAAAAAAAAUAAAUUGGAAGAUGUACAUCAAAUUUUGAUGCAUGACACACGUUUAUAUUCGUUUUUUAUAUUUACUUAACUAAUUGGCUUUUUCUGACAUUAAUUGAACAUUUUUAAUUGCCUCAAACUAUAUAACAAUGUAACAUUAUACGCAAUUUUCAUAACAAAUUUCCAUGAAAUAACUGGAUUAAUCUUCUGUAAUGUUGUGAGCGGAAGAACAAUCAGAAUGAGAAUACUGUCAUUUUAUCGACUAACACUUGUAUCUUUGUUAUUAGUCUUAUGCUAUUCACAAAAAUACACAGAAAGAAGCAAACCAGUUAAACCUGCUCCCGAACAUGAACAAAUGUCUUCUGUAUUGACAAACAUGGUGUGUGAUAUGUGCACCACUAUGAAGGACAAGAAGAAAUGCAUCUCGAAAUUCUGUUUAUAGAAUACAUUGGCUUUUUAACGGCAUUCAAAAGGGAUUGAAAAAACAGCAGGACUGCAGUUAUCAUAUGUAACAGAUUAAAAUCUGCAUUAGAGA